rnacentral:rRNA from 1 species
UACGUAGGUGGCAAGCGUUGUCCGGAAUCACUGGGCGUAAAGGGCGCGUAGGCGGCUUCUCAAGCGUGUGGUGAAAGUCCGGGGCUCAACCCCGGAUCGGCCGUGCGGACUGGGGAGCUCGAGUUCUGUAGAGGCGGGUGGAAUUCCGGGUGUAGCGGUGGAAUGCGUAGAGAUCCGGAAGAACACCGGUGGCGAAGGCGGCCCGCUGGGCAGAGACUGACGCUGAGGCGCGAAAGCGUGGGGAGCAAACAGG